rnacentral:tRNA from 1 species
GACACGGUGGUAGAGUGGUUAAUACGUGAGACUUGAAUCCGCCGCCGAACCGUAAAAAGUUCCGCAGCAACUUGGAUACGAUCAUCUCAUACCUUCGGGUGCGCAAGUUCGAAUCUUGUCCGUGUCG